CACUCCUACGGGAGGCAGCAGUGGGGAAUUUUGGACAAUGGGCGAAAGCCUGAUCCAGCAAUGCCGCGUGAGUGAAGAAGGCCUUCGGGUUGUAAAGCUCUUUUGUCAGGGAAGAAACGGUGAAAGCUAAUAUCUUUUGCUAAUGACGGUACCUGAAGAAUAAGCACCGGCUAACUACGUGCCAGCAGCCGCGGUAAUACGUAGGGUGCAAGCGUUAAUCGGAAUUACUGGGCGUAAAGCGUGCGCAGGCGGUUUUGUAAGUCUGAUGUGAAAUCCCCGGGCUCAACCUGGGAAUUGCAUUGGAGACUGCAAGGCUAGAAUCUGGCAGAGGGGGGUAGAAUUCCACGUGUAGCAGUGAAAUGCGUAGAUAUGUGGAGGAACACCGAUGGCGAAGGCAGCCCCCUGGGUCAAGAUUGACGCUCAUGCACGAAAGCGUGGGGAGCAAACAGGAUUAGAAACCCUUGUAGUCCCAU
rnacentral:rRNA from 1 species